rfam:Hordeum vulgare subsp. vulgare, WGS project CAJW01000000 data, contig: morex_contig_40797
AAACUACUCCCUCCGUUUCAAAAUUCUUGUCUUAGCUUUUUCUAGAAAUGGAUGUAUCUAAAUACUAAAACUUGACUAGAUACAUUCACAUCUAAACAAAUCUAUGACAAGAAUUUUAGGACGGAGGAAGUAGUAA